rnacentral:misc_RNA from 1 species
GAAACCUUUUGCUUCUUUGCAUUAAAGUCAGAUGUUUUGUCAGUGUUGGUCAAAUGUUGUGCAAAAUGACUACUCUCAUCAAAUUCAUCAUCUGAAAUUCUUCUAACAUAAUUGUUUGAGUUAUUGAAGACUAUUGAUUUGAUCAACGCCUCAUCCUCUUCUUCUAACUUCUUUUCCUUUUCAGCGGCCGUUCGUUGCAAAGCCACAAGCAUUGAAUCAACACUCACAUUUGCGUGUCUGGACUUCAUAGACUUCAUCUCAUCCAAAGCAGCAAGAAUGUCCAUCUCGCGUUUGGAAUCCAAGGUUCUAUUCUCCAAAGAUUUCAUUGGGUCCCCCAUCUCUUCAGCAUUUCUUUUGUGUUUCUCCUUCUCUGAAGCUUCAUCCUCCUCACGCCAUGGUUCAAAAUUACGUGUGGCUCCUGAUUCUACAACAUAGUCUGAGUUCUGGGGGUCUGUUUUAAUGGUGAGUUCAGCUGAACAUCUGGUACACUUGAAGUAGAACCUAAAAAUUUGAAUUCCCAAAUAUGUCUCACCAACGACGUCCUCCUUGCGAGAAUUAAAC